rnacentral:rRNA from 1 species
GACGAACGCUGGCGGCGUGCUUAACACAUGCAAGUCGAGCGGGGUCCAUCUUGUCGCAAGACAAGGGAAGACCUAGCGGCGAACGGGUGAGUAACACGUGAGCAACCUGCCCCGAAGACUGGGAUAACACCGGGAAACCGGUGCUAAUACCGGAUACCCUCAAUGAGUCGCAUGGCUCGAUGAGGAAAUGGAUUCCGCUUCGGGAGGGGCUCGCGGCCUAUCAGCUUGUUGGGGGGUAACGGCCUACCAAGGCUCCGACGGGUAGCUGGUCUGAGAGGACGACCAGCCACACUGGGACUGAGACACGGCCCAGACUCCUACGGGAGGCAGCAGUGGGGAAUCUUGCGCAAUGGGCGAAAGCCUGACGCAGCAACGCCGCGUGGGGACGAAGGCC